UACGGAGGGUGCAAGCGUUAUCCGGAUUCACUGGGUUUAAAGGGUGCGUAGGCGGGCAGGUAAGUCAGUGGUGAAAUCUCCGAGCUUAACUCGGAAACUGCCUUUGAUACUAUCUGUCUUGAAUAUGGUGGAGGUAAGCGGAAUAUGUCAUGUAGCGGUGAAAUGCUUAGAGAUGACAUAGAACACCUAUUGCAAAGGCAGCUUACUACGCCUAUAUUGACGCUGAGGCACGAAAGCGUGGGGAUCAAACAGG
rnacentral:rRNA from 1 species